CCUGCCCCUAGAGGCAUUGUGAGUGUGACUGCUAUGUCAUAUGUGUGUCACAGUAAGUGACAGAGAGACUAUGUCUAUGCUCAGUGUUCUGACCUAUGAGCAUCUGAAUAAUUAGUGGCCCAGCAUU